AAAGGUAAGCUACUAAGAGCGAAUGGUGGAUGCCUUGACUGGUAAAGGCGAUGAAGGACGUACUAGACUGCGAUAAGCUACGGGGAGCUGUCAAGAAGCUUUGAUCCGUAGAUUUCCGAAUGGGGCAACCCAAUGUAUAGAGAUAUACAUUACCUAUAUAGGAGCGAACGAGGGGAAUUGAAACAUCUUAGUACCCUCAGGAAAAGAAAUCAAUAGAGAUUGCGUCAGUAGCGGCGAGCGAAAGCGCAAGAGGGCAAACCCAGUGCUUGCACUGGGGGUUGUAGGACUGCAAUGUGCAAGAGGUAAGUUUAGCAGAACAUUCUGGAAAGUAUAACCAUAGAGGGUGAUAGUCCCGUAUGCGAAAAACAAACCUUAGCUAGCAGUAUCCUGAGUAGGGCGGGACACGAGGAAUCCUGUCUGAAUCCGGGUCGACCACGAUCCAACCCUAAAUACUAAUACCAGAUCGAUAGUGCACAAGUACCGUGAGGGAAAGGUGAAAAGAACUGA
rnacentral:rRNA from 1 species